UACGAAGGGGGCUAGCGUUGUUCGGAAUUACUGGGCGUAAAGGGCGCGUAGGCGGAUAGUUUAGUCAGAGGUGAAAGCCCAGGGCUCAACCUUGGAACUGCCUUUGAUACUGGCUAUCUUGAGUUCGGGAGAGGUGAGUGGAAUGCCGAGUGUAGAGGUGAAAUUCGUAGAUAUUCGGCGGAACACCAGUGGCGAAGGCGACUCCACUGGCCGAUACUGACGCUGAGGCGCGAAAGCGUGGGGAGCAAACAGG
rnacentral:rRNA from 1 species